GUGUCGUGUUUAUAAUUAUGUUAAAUCUUAUUUAUCUGUUUUCAAGUAAGUACUAAACGUUUAUUAUAAUAUUGACUGCUGUUAACUCCCAUCAUAAUUAUAUUUUGUGAUCCAAACCAAAGUAUUCCAAUCGUUACAAGUCACUUGUUUUUUUUUGUGGUUACAAAAAUACAAAUAUAACAAUCAACUCCAGCUACAAUUAAAGCUACCGAUGUUGCACCGUCAACAAGGCGUUCCCAGAAGCUAUCAUCUCAAUGCGUUUUACUUAUAAAUGAUCAGAAAAUCAAGCGCCUGUGGAGUUACACUUGCUCAUAAGCUAGGUUUUUGUCCACUUGGUUGUUUGCCACCAUUAUGGUUUGUGAAGUGAAAAACUGCUGAAACUAGACAGGUAAGGUUUAUUUUGAUUUGGAUGCAAAUUUAGUUACAAAUAUCGUUUGUAAUCUCAAUCAGAACGUAAAUGUUAGAGUAUAGGAAAUAUAUUGCACAACGCGAUGGUGGAUUUUAAAACAUAGGACGAUGAUACAGUCAACGGUAAAAAUAUGGGUGUAGACAACUUACUCAAAAAUAUGUCCCAUAGUUCUUAAUUCAUUGACAUAAGAUUUAUGGGACAUAUUUUUGAAAUGAUUUGUACACCCAUAUUUUUACCGUUUACUGUACAUUAUGAAUUCGCUAUCCUUUGCGGAAAUUAGUAAAGUUAUUUUACUAUUGUAUUAGAUUUGAGUGUUGGAACCUAAAUGAAAACUCCUUUAUUACUAGCAUUUUCUAUUUACCAUAGUGCAUGUUAGUUACUACUGUUGUUCAAUAUUGGGGUUUGAUUUGCUAAGUUUCCGAGAAGUGGAAGUUGGAAUAAGGAUUGACGUAUUAUGUGAUAUUCAGGAUUAACCUAUCAAUUGUGUCUUGUGGUUUCAAAUCUUGGUUGUGCUGUAACUGCAACACUCCUGUACAUCGGUGGACCUUAUUAAAAAGGCAUAAGGUCCACCGAUGUACACAGUGUGGGCGAUGGUUUAGAUAGAGCAGAAAAAUAACUAAAUAAAAGAAAAAAGAUGACUAAAUGUGACGUCCCACGGGUAGAGGUACCUUACGGCGGGUGGCGCUUACGCUAUUAUUAACGCCGCUCCAAUAUUAUUGCGGCGCUAUGCGACGUAAGCGCCGGCCGCCAUAAGGCCCAUAAGGUACCUUUUUCUGUGGAACGUCACAAAUAUUUAGUCAGAAUCCUUAUGAUAGAGAAGAGGUUAAAUUAAGAAUCCUGAAUGUCGCAUUACAUAGGGGCGUUAGACCUUAGCGCGUCACAGACGGAAAGCCCGUCUUUUACUGUGAUAAAAUUGGAACCAGUUGUGAAUGCUGGGGUGGGUGUAGCUACAUUCAUUAUCCUUGUAGUUUUAAGGCAGAGAUAUAAUAUUGUAGAGCUUUUAAUAUGUUUUAAUAAAAAUUAAGUGAUA